AGAGAGAGACAUGCGCGCAUAUCAAUAAGCGGAGGAAAAGAAACUAACUAGGAUUCCCCUAGUAACGGCGAGUGAGGCGGGAAGAGCUCAAAUUUGAAAUCUUAAAGGUUUCCCUUGACGAAUUGUAGUUUAAAGAAGUGUUUUCUGUUGGAGGUUUUGGUAAAAGUUCUUUGGAAUAGGACAUCAUAGAGGGUGAGAAUCCCGUAUUUGACCAUUUACUUUCAGCUUUGUGAUACACUUUCAAAGAGUCGGAUUGUUUGGGAAUGCAGUCCAAAAUGGGUGGUAAAUUUCAUCUAAAGCUAAAUAUUGGCGAGAGACCGAUAGCGAACAAGUACCGUGAGGGAAAGAUGAAAAGAACUUUGAAAAGAGAGUUAAACAGUACGUGAAAUUGUCAAAAGGGAAGCGUUUGACACCAGUGUUGUUUUCUCGAAAAUCAAUUAAAAAAGGCAGGAUUUUGUGUUGUAUUGACUUUAUCAGCUUUCUGCACUCUUUUCUUGUCUUUUUUAAUGCACUUUUCGUUUAACAAGUCAACAUCAAUUUCUUUUGUUGUAAAAGGGUCAUUGGAAGGUGGCUUUCUUUUCGGAGAAAGUGUUUAUAGCCUUUGGCCUCUGCAAUCGGAGAGAUUGAGGUCUGCAGCGUAGAUCCUUCGGGGUUAGAUACAUUUGUGCUAAGUUAUAGCCUUUCAUAGACAACUUGUUGACUAUGAUCAGUCAUGUAGCUUACUCGCUUAUGCUAUUUUACCUACGCUUAGGAUGUUGAUGUGAUACUGCGAGCA
rnacentral:rRNA from 1 species